rnacentral:rRNA from 1 species
CCCCGGUAAACGGCGGCCGUAACUAUAACGGUCCUAAGGUAGCGAAAUUCCUUGUCGGGUAAGUUCCGACCUGCACGAAUGGCGUAAUGAUGGCCAGGCUGUCUCCACCCGAGACUCAGUGAAAUUGAACUCGCUGUGAAGAUGCAGUGUACCCGCGGCAAGACGGAAAGACCCCGUGAACCUUUACUAUAGCUUGACACUGAACAUUGAGCCUUGAUGUGUAGGAUAGGUGGGAGGCUUUGAAGUGUGGACGCCAGUCUGCAUGGAGCCGACCUUGAAAUACCACCCUUUAAUGUUUGAUGUUCUAACGUGGACCCGUAAUCCGGGUUGCGGACAGUGUCUGGUGGGUAGUUUGACUGGGGCGGUCUCCUCCUAAAGAGUAACGGAGGAGCACGAAGGUUGGCUAAUCCUGGUCGGACAUCAGGAGGUUAGUGCAAUGGCAUAAGCCAGCUUGACUGCGAGCGUGACGGCGCGAGCAGGUGCGAAAGCAGGUCAUAGUGAUCCGGUGGUUCUGAAUGGAAGGGCCAUCGCUCAACGGAUAAAAGGUACUCCGGGGAUAACAGGCUGAUACCGCCCAAGAGUUCAUAUCGACGGCGGUGUUUGGCACCUCGAUGUCGGCUCAUCACAUCCUGGGGCUGAAGUAGGUCCCAAGGGUAUGGCUGUUCGCCAUUUAAAGUGGUACGCGAGCUGGGUUUAGAACGUCGUGAGACAGUUCGGUCCCUAUCUGCCGUGGGCGCUGG